CCCUUCCGUUAAUCAUUCUGAACGGUGCCCAGGACUCUCAAUGGGUAGGAAGCUGCUCUUUGCCAGGAAAAGAAAUAACCUUCAGAGAGAAGGAAAGUCCAGUUCCCCAGGCCCUGAGAAUCCUUCAUGCUUCCCUGACCCUCUUGGUUACAAGCCUGGUAACUAUUUCUUUGACAUUGGUAACUAUUCUGUGUGAGUCUUGCCUCCCAACCCUCUUUCUCCAUAAAACAUUCCUGGCUCCAAACCUCUUUCCCUAGUCAAACCACAGAGACUGAUGUUAAAGAAGGAGGAAAGUCUUGCCUAAGGUGAGUUCCCAUAGCAGCGGACAUAGGUCAAGGUUCCCUCUACCCGGGGAUUAUUUGUAUAUAAGUCCUGACUGGAUCAGUU
rnacentral:lncRNA from 1 species